rnacentral:rRNA from 1 species
UACGUAGGGCGCAAGCGUUGUCCGGAAUUAUUGGGCGUAAAGAGCUCGUAGGCGGUUUGUCGCGUCUGUCGUGAAAGCUUGGGGCUUAACCCCAAGUCUGCGGUGGAUACGGGCAGACUAGAGGCAGGUAGGGGAGAACGGAAUUCCUGGUGUAGCGGUGAAAUGCGCAGAUAUCAGGAGGAACACCGGUGGCGAAGGCGGUUCUCUGGGCCUUACCUGACGCUGAGGAGCGAAAGCGUGGGGAGCAAACAGG